UACGGAAGGGGCAAGCGUUGUUCGGAAUCAUUGGGCGUAAAGGGCGUGUAGGCGGUUUCAUAUGUCCGCUGUGAAACAACACGGCUCAACUGUGUAGAGCGGUGGAAACUGUGAAACUUGAGGCUGGGAGGGGCUGGUGGAAUUCCCUGUGUAGCGGGUGAAAUGCGUAGAGAUGGGGGGAGAACACUCGUGGCGAAGGCGGCCAGCUGGACCAGUUCUGACGCUGGAGACGCGAAAGCGUGGGGAGCAAACAGG
rnacentral:rRNA from 1 species